CAGCCGCGGUAAUACAGAGGGUGCGAGCGUUAAUCGGAUUUACUGGGCGUAAAGCGCGCGUAGGUGGCUAAUUAAGUCAAAUGUGAAAUCCCCGAGCUUAACUUGGGAAUUGCAUUCGAUACUGGUUAGCUAGAGUAUGGGAGAGGAUGGUAGAAUUCCAGGUGUAGCGGUGAAAUGCGUAGAGAUCUGGAGGAAUACCGAUGGCGAAGGCAGCCAUCUGGCCUAAUACUGACACUGAGGUGCGAAAGCAUGGGGAGCAAACAGGAUUAGAUACCCUGGUAGUCCAUGCCGUAAACGAUGUCUACUAGCCGUUGGGGCCUUUGAGGCUUUAGUGGCGCAGCUAACGCGAUAAGUAGACCGCCUGGGGAGUACGGUCGCAAGACUAAAACUCAAAUGAAUUGACGG
rnacentral:rRNA from 1 species